GACAGUUCGGUCCCUAUCCGUCGCAGGCGUAGGAAAUUUGAGAAGACCUGUCCUUAGUACGGGAGGACCGGGAUGGACGUACCUCUGGUGUACCAGUUGUCCUGCCAAGGGCAUGGCUGGGUAGCUAUGUACGGAAUGGAUAAGCGCUGAAAGCAUCUAAGCGCGAAGCCAACUUCAAGAUAAGAUUUCCCACCGCAAGGGUAAGACCCCAGAAAGACUAUCUGGUUG
rnacentral:rRNA from 1 species